UACGAAGGGGGCUAGCGUUGCUCGGAAUGACUGGGCGUAAAGGGCGCGUAGGCGGAUGGCACAGUCAGAUGUGAAAUUCCCGGGCUUAACCUGGGGGCUGCAUUUGAUACGUGUGAUCUAGAGUGUGGAAGAGGGUCGUGGAAUUCCCAGUGUAGAGGUGAAAUUCGUAGAUAUUGGGAAGAACACCGGUGGCGAAGGCGGCGACCUGGUCCUUGACUGACGCUGAGGCGCGAAAGCGUGGGGAGCAAACAGG
rnacentral:rRNA from 1 species